AACAAGGCGUACCUGCGGACCUGCGGAGGGAUCAUUACAGAGUUCGUGCCCUCGCGGGUAGAUCUCCCACCCUUGUGUAUUCCUUACAUUUUGUUGCUUUGGCAGGCCGUUGGUUCGCCAACCACCGGCUCUACGGGCUGGUGCGUGCCUGCCAGAGGACCCCCCAAACUCGGUUUGUUAGUGUCGUCUGAGUAACCAUAACAAUCGUUAAAACUUUCAACAAUGGAUCUCAGAUCGGAA
rnacentral:misc_RNA from 1 species